AGAUAAGCUCAUGGUGGCUGGAGUCUGGACAUCUAUUUUUCAUCCUUCAAGCAAAUAAUGGACGUAAUUAGCAUCGCGUUCAUAAAUUUUGCAGUCAGAGUAUUUAACAAGCAGACUAUUUAUAAACAACAACCCGACUAUGAUAUGUUUUCACCAAAAAUUCACAUGGAAUUAGUUUCAACAGAUACGUUAGCAAGUUAGAGGAACACAUGAACUGAAAAUAAACUAGUCUUUUACAAUUAUUAACAAAGAGUAAAAGAUACUUUACUUUGACUAAAAAUCAUAUACGCUGGGCUAUUCAAGUGAGAUUUAUUCACAUAUGUAUGUGAGAGAAAGAGCCUGUGCAGGAACAAAUGGAACAUGUGCAAUAUAAUGGAGUUUAAACAUGAAAGAGAUGCCCCUAAUUUAAUGAAUUUACGCGACUCUGGAAGCAGUACAUGAAAAAACCAAAUCAUAUUCACCACCUACUUCACAUCUUCAUAACAGCGUGUUCUGUUCCGCUUCCUCUCCGCUCUAGUUCUGUCUUCCUCAGCUUUGCUGAAUUUCCUUCAAAAAAGAAGGUUUCUUAUAAGCUAAAACAGCUCAGUGGAUUCUAGUUCUAACAACAAACAGAAACAAAAACAAAAAAUGGUACGUGGAACGCAGAAGGAGAAAUCAGGAUGUAGAAGAAAGCAAAAGGUUCAAGAGGGGGCUGCUCACCUUGAUUGGUGCUGCUUGGCGUGGACGAGCGCUCACUGUCAAAAGCAAUGCAGGAGAGAAAUGAAGCUAACAGCCCUCACAGGAGGGGAGCCUAACAAGCUACAGGAGUCAACCCUCACAGCUUCUGGGA
rnacentral:lncRNA from 1 species